UUCCUAGCAUCAGUAGAUACCUAUAUGGAUU
rnacentral:piRNA from 1 species